rnacentral:rRNA from 1 species
AACUUUCAACAACGGAUCUCUUGGUUCUGGCAUCGAUGAAGAACGCAGCGAAAUGCGAUAAGUAAUGUGAAUUGCAGAAUUUAGUGAAUCAUCGAAUCUUUGAACGCACAUUGCGCCUAUUGGUAUUCCGAUAGGCAUGCACGUUCGAGCGUC